rnacentral:tRNA from 1 species
GGGGAAUUAGCUCAGUUGGGAGAGCACCUGCUUUGCAAGCAGGAGGUCAGCGGUUCGAACCCGCUAUUCUCCA